UUAGACAGCCAAUCACGUUGGGAGUGGGAGUGGCCCAGGCCUUCAGAAAUAUAUAUAAGCAGCUGCUUUGCCCCUGUUGUCCAGUUCUGUUAGUUCAAUAAAGGUUCUUGCUGUUAUCACUGUGUCUUGCCUCGUGGGAACCCACCUAAACUUCAGUGUCAACUGCAAUAAUGAUAGUGACAAUAUGUACUAUUCUUAAUUUUCUGCCUUUCCUUCUAGGAAUCCAUGGUGGUGUAUAUGGUUCUCAUUUUCCUUAAUUGAUCCUCACCAGCCCCCUGCAAGGUAGGUUAGCCUGAGAAACAGACACUGCUCCAAGGUCACCAGUGAUCUUCAUGACUAAAUGGGGAUUGGAAUCCUGGUCUCUCGGGCCCUAAUCCAACACUCAUGGCAUUACAAUACACAGGCUGCAUAUCUGAAGGGCUGUCAGCAUGAUGAAAUCCUGCAUUGUCAGAUCCUUAUCUUGAAGUCUUGCUUAAUAAUAAAUAACCAAAAGCAGGGAGAGUAGAGGCCCUGAAAUUACCUAUCAACAGCAGGCUGAGAAGCCACGUGAGUCACCUGGUCAGAGUUCCCCCCUCCCGCAUGGUGAAAUGUAUUUCUAUUUAAAUUGCACCAUUUAUUGCUAAAUUAGCAUCUUUAUCCAUGCAUAUAAAUUAUCUUAUCAUAGAAUUGCAGAGUUGGAAGGGUCAUUUAGUCCAACACCAUGUGAUGCAGGAAUCUUUUGCCCAAUGUGGGGCUCAAACCCACGACCCUGAGAUUAAGAUUCUCAUGCUCUACCAACUGAACUAUCGUCUUAUGCAAGUCUAUAUCCUCUCCAUGGUGAUACUCAAGUGGCCACCUUAUCUCCAGCAGAACUGAAAAAUGCUAAACUCCACCCCUGGCUCCACAUUGUUUAUCCACUCUGUGCUCCCACCCUCAGGCCCAGAGGAAUCCACCUCCAAGUUGUGCCCACAUAACAGAUUUCCACCCCAUUUAAAUAGCUUUCAAUGCUACAUGAACCCAACAGCAAAGGGGCAACACGUUACCAUGAUAAGUAGCAAGAGACAUUUCGAUGAGGAAAGAUUUGCUGCAGUUCCAAAGUUCCCAACGCAUUUCAAGCAGAUGGCUCUUCUUUGGGGGAAAUUACUCAUUAAAAUAGCUGCUGAAAAUAACUUAUUCCAUGUGCAGAAAGAGUGCUUGAUUCCACUAUCAACAAUGGCAGGAUUCCCCAAAGGUUCGCACUCAUGGCCAAGCUUACUUGUAUAUUAGCAAGCGAAGCUGAGCUAAUUGCCAGAGUAGAAUGGAAAGCACACAUACCACCUUGUUAUUAUUCACGCCUGUCGUUCGUUCUGAUAUAGGUGAAUUACAUUUUCCUAGGAGCCUGCAGUCAAGUUCUUGAUAACGCAGCAGCAAAGCCUCUGGAAAUUUCUGGCUCACGUAUACUGUUACGAACUUCAGCUUAAAAGCCACCAGGUAGACUAUGGCUGAGUCAGGUCUGCACCUUUGAGAUUUUAUGUUGCAGUACAGCCUUCUGGAACCUCUUCCCCUUCCCCAUGCUUGAAACCCUGAUUUGAUCAUCCCCAGGAACCGCAUAGACAAGUGGUCAGGAUGACGAGUGUUGUAGUCCAAAAUAUCUGGUGGGCAUCAAGUUGAGGAAGGCUGCAAUAGAACAAUGGCUAAGAGUAGGUCUGUUCAAUCUAUAUUUUAUGUCCUACAGAGCAAAAGGCUGCUUGGGGAAGUGGGGCAGUACUGGGUAAAAAGGGGGGGUGGAAGGGAAGUCUUAAGCAUAUUUCCCCCAUUUCUGUAUGAGUCAGGUCUGACACUCUGCUUUUAUUUUGUUAAACUAAGGUAAAGGUAUCCCUGACUGUUAGGUCCAGUCAUGGACGACUCGGGUUGCGUGCUCAUCUCGCUCUAUAGGCCAAGGGAGCCGGUGUUUGUCUGCAGACAGCUUCCGGGUCAUGUGGCCAGCAUGACUGUUAUGUACUGAAGAUCCGCGCUAUCCAGCAGGCCCCCAUCCCAAAGAACAAGACAGAGUUGCAGGCGUUCCUGGGCUGCUGAACUUUUAUAACAUGUUCCUGC
rnacentral:lncRNA from 1 species